UAGGAGAUUCAGCCAUGGGAGAAGUCCAGGAAAACUCAAGAGAGAGGAGCAGGAGCAGGAAAGCUACAAAGUGUUUGGAAAGAAGGAAAGCCACAUUGACUCUCCAUGCUACAAGUUCCCACCACUAUCAUUUGUCUCCGUUUGCCCAAGACUGACGGCACUGACUGAGCUAAAGACAGUUUGUUUUCAAUAAGAAGUCACAAGUAAACCAGAAUGAGUUGGACACCCUAUAUGUCCUUAAAGCCAAAGUCUCAGAUCUGUACAGGAAUUCCUCAUGUUGUUAAAGAUAACAAAAUGAAGCUACGUCUGUGCCCCCUCCCCAGCAUUCCUGGGGGGUUAUCCUGAGACCCAUCUUCAAGCAUUGUUGGUGUGAAAUAUGGGGCUGCUUCAGAUUGUCCACAGCAACUGAUUAUGAUUUGCCUCAUGCUCUGGCAGGAAUGUGAUUUUGCCAGUGGAACAUAGCUUCUGCAACUGUGUGACAAUUGGAAUUCUGACAGGAGCCUAGCAUAACUGUCUUCUGAGAGGCUCCACCCAGCAGUGGAUCAAAACAGAUCCUAAGACUCACAGCCAAACAUUGCGCAAAGCGUAAGAAGUCUUAUAGGAAAGUGGAAGGGAGAAUAAAAGGACCUGGAGGGGACAGGACACCUUCCUAAAUGAGCACUGCCUGAGGGAAUGACUCACAAGAAGACCAACAGAGCCAACUAACCAGGUACCAAAGGGACUUGCGAAGACUCAAGCACCAUGCAUGGACUGAACCUAGGCCUUCUACACAGAUGUAGCCAAUGGGCACUGCGGGCUUCAGGUGGGUUCUCUAGUAAGGGGAGCAGGAGCUGUCUUAGACAUGGACUGUAUUGCCUGCUUUUUGAUCACUUCCCCUUGGUGGGGCAGAUUGACAGAUUUGACUUGAUAA